GGAGGAUCCAAGCGUUAUCCGGAAUCAUUGGGUUUAAAGGGUCCGUAGGCGGUCUUAUAAGUCAGUGGUGAAAUCUCCCCGCUCAACGGGGAAACGGCCAUUGAUACUGUAAGACUUGAAUUAUUAGGAAGUAACUAGAAUAUGUAGUGUAGCGGUGAAAUGCUUAGAGAUUACAUGGAAUACCAAUUGCGAAGGCAGGUUACUACUAAUGGAUUGACGCUGAUGGACGAAAGCGUGGGUAGCGAACAGGAUUAGAUACCCUGGUAGUCCACGCCGUAAACGAUGGAUACUAGCUGUUGGGAGCAAUCUCAGUGGCUAAGCGAAAGUGAUAAGUAUCCCACCUGGGGAGUACGUUCGCAAGAAUG
rnacentral:rRNA from 1 species